AAUCAUUCACAAUGGGCGAAAGCCUGAUGGUGCGACGCCGCGUGGAGGAUGACAGCCCUAGGGUUGUAAACUCCUGUCAUGAGAGAGUAAAGACUUAACGUUAAUAGCGUUGGGUCCUGAUAGUAUCUCAAGAGGAAGGGACGGCUAACUUCGUGCCAGCAGCCGCGGUAAUACGAAGGUCCCAAGCGUUGUUCGGAAUUACUGGGCGUAAAGCGUGCGUAGGUGGCAUGGUAAGUCAGAUGUGAAAUCCCGGGGCUCAACCCCGGAACUGCAUCCGAUACUGCCAAGCUAGAGUAGUGGAGGGGAGUCUGGAAUUCACGGUGUAGCAGUGAAAUGCGUAGAUAUCGUGAGGAACACUAGUGGCGAAGGCGAGACUCUGGACACUAACUGACACUGAGGCACGAAGGCUAGGGUAGCGAAAGGGAUUAGAUACCCCUGUAGUCCUAGCAGUAAACGGUGCGCGUUUGGUGUGGGCGGGUUCGACCCCGUCCGUGCCGAAGCUAACGCGUUAAACGCGCCGCCUGGGGAGUACGGCCGCAAGGCUAAAACUCAAAGAAAUUGACGGGGACCCGCACAAGCGGUGGAGUAUGUGGCUUAAUUCGAUGCAACGCGAAGAACCUUACCUGGGCUUGACAUGCUUGUCGUAGUUCUGUGAAAGCAGAUCGUCAGUUCGGCUGGACUUGCACAGGUGCUGCAUGGCUGUCGUCAGCUCGUGUCGUGAGAUGUUGGGUUAAGUCCCGCAACGAGCGCAACCCCUAUGAUUAGUUGCCAGCGAGUAAUGUCGGGGACUCUAGUCAGACUGCCUGUAUUAAACAGGAGGAAGGUGGGGACGACGUCAAGUCAGUAUGGCCCUUACGCCUAGGGCUGCACACGUACUACAAUGCCCAGUACAAUGUGAACCGAUACCGUAAGGUGGAGGAAAUCCUUAAAACUGGGCUCAGUUCGGAUUGUGGGCUGCAACUCGCCCACAUGAAGCUGGAAUCGCUAGUAAUGGCACAUCAGCUACGGUGCCGUGAAUACGUUCCCGGGUCUUGUACACACCGCCCGUCACAUCAUGGAAGCCGCUCGCA
rnacentral:rRNA from 1 species